rnacentral:rRNA from 1 species
UCAAGUGACUAAGCGCAUGCGGUAGAUGCCUUGGCGAUCACAGGCGAUGAAAGACGUGGUAGCCUGCGAAAAGCUUCGGGGAGUUGGCAAACAAGCGUUGAUCCGAAGAUCUCUGAAUGGGGAAACCCACCCGUUAAGGGUAUUACUGGCUGAAUCCAUAGGUCAGUAAAGCGAACCUAGGGAACUGAAACAUCUAAGUACCUAGAGGAACAGAAAUCAACCGAGAUUCCGUUAGUAGCGGCGAGCGAACGCGGACCAGCCACUUGCAUUUAGCUUUCGUGUUAGAGAAACAGGUCUGGAAAGACUGGCGAUACAGGGUGAUAGCCCCGUACUCGAAAACACGAAAGUGGAACCAGGGCAAGAAUAAGUAGGGCGGAACACGUGAAACUCUGUCUGAACAAGGGGGGACCAUCCUCCAAGGCUAAAUACUCGUGAUCGACCGAUAGCGAACCAGUACCGUGAGGGAAAGGUGAAAAGAACCCCGGCGAGGGGAGUGAAAUAGAACCUGAAACCGCAUGCGUACAAGCAGUCGAAGCCUCCUUGAGAGGUGACGGCGUACCUUUUGUAUAAUGGGUCAGCGACUUACUUUCAGUGGCAAGCUUAACCAGCUAGGGGAAGCGUAGGGAAACCGAGUCUUAAUAGGGCGACCAGUCGCUGGGAGUAGACCCGAAACCGAGCGAUCUAUCCAUGGUCAGGCUGAAGGUGCGGUAACACGCACUGGAGGGCCGAACCCACGUCUGUUGAAAAAGACGGGGAUGAACUGUGGAUCGGAGUGAAAGGCUAAUCAAGCUCGGAGAUAGCUGGUUCUCCCCGAAAGCUAUUGAGGUAGCGCCUCGUGUCUCACUCCCGGGGGUAGAGCACUGUUUCGGCUAGGGGGCCAUACCGGCUUACCAACCCGAGGCAAACUCCGAAUACCGGGAAGUGCAAUCACGGGAGACACACGGCGGGUGCGAACGUCCGUCGUGGAAAGGGAAACAACCCAGACCGCCAGCUAAGGUCCCCAAGUUUUGGCUCAGUGGGAAACGAUGUGGGAAGGCCCAGACAGCCAGGAGGUUGGCUUAGAAGCAGCCAUCCUUUAAAGAAAGCGUAAUAGCUCACUGGUCAAGUCGGCCUGCGCGGAAGAUUCAACGGGGCUUAAGCCAAACACCGAAGCUGCGGAUGCCGUAAGGCAUGGUAGGGGAGCGUUCCGUACGCCUGUGAAGGUUCAUCGUGAGAUGGGCUGGAGGUAUCGGAAGUGCGAAUGCUGACAUGAGUAACGAUCAUGCGGGUGAAAACCCCGCACGCCGAAUGCCCAAGGGUUCCUGCGCAACGUCAAUCGGCGCAGGGUGAGUCGGCCCCUAAGACGAGGCCGAAAGGCGUAGUCGAUGGGAAACCGGUCAACAAUCCGGUACUAAUGUACACUGCGAUGGGGGGACGGAGAAGGCUAAGCGAUCCGGCGGUUGGAUGGGCCGGUUCAAGCGUGUAGACAGACCUGCCUGGUAAAUCCGGUCGGUUAAUGUCGAGACGUGAUAACGAGUCCUACGGGAUGAAGUCGCCAAUGCCCUGCUUCCAGGAAAAGCCUCUAAGCUUCAGGUGUUCAUUACCCGUACCCCAAACCGACACAGGUGGGCAAGGUGAGAAUCCUCAGGCGCUGGAGAAAACUUGGGUGAAGGAACUCGGCAAAAUAGCACCGUAACUUCGGGAGAAGGUGCGCCUGUAGUACGUGAAAGCCCUCGCGGCCGAAGCGGACGCAGGCUGCAAUAACCAGGUGGCUGCGACUGUUUAUUAAAAACAUAGCACUCUGCCAAGACGAAAGUCGACGUAUAGGGUGUGACGCCUGCCCGGUGCCGGAAGGUUAAUUGAUGGGGUUAGCGUAAGCAAAGCUCUUGAUCGAAGCCCCGGUAAACGGCGGCCGUAACUAUAACGGUCCUAAGGUAGCGAAAUUCCUUGUCGGGUAAGUUCCGACCUGCACGAAUGGCACCUUUACUAUAGCUUUACACUGAAUUUUGAGUCUUCUUGUGUAGGAUAGGUGGGAGGCUGUGAAACCAGAACGCCAGUUUUGGUGGAGCCAUCCUUGAAAUACCACCCUGGGAUACUUGAGGUUCUAACCCAGGUCCCUGAUCGGGAUCGGGAACCGUGUAUGGUGGGUAGUUUGACUGGGGCGGUCUCCUCCCAAAGCGUAACGGAGGAGUGCGAAGGUGCCCUCAGCGCGGUCGGAAAUCGCGCACUGCGUGCAAAGGCAUAAGGGCGCUUGACUGCGAGACAGACACGUCAAGCAGGUGCGAAAGCAGGUCUUAGUGAUCCGGUGGUUCCUGAUGGAAGGGCCAUCGCUCAACGGAUAAAAGGUACUCCGGGGAUAACAGGCUGAUACUGCCCAAGAGUCCAUAUCGACGGCAGUGUUUGGCACCUCGAUG